rnacentral:rRNA from 1 species
UGGGGAAUUUUGGACAAUGGGGGAAACCCUGAUCCAGCCAUCCCGCGUGUGCGAUGAAGGCCUUCGGGUUGUAAAGCACUUUUGGCAGGAAAGAAACGUCGCGGGUUAAUACCCCGCGAAACUGACGGUACCUGCAGAAUAAGCACCGGCUAACUACGUGCCAGCAGCCGCGGUAAUACGUAGGGUGCAAGCGUUAAUCGGAAUUACUGGGCGUAAAGCGUGCGCAGGCGGUUCGGAAAGAAAGAUGUGAAAUCCCAGAGCUUAACUUUGGAACUGCAUUUUUAACUACCGGGCUAGAGUGUGUCAGAGGGAGGUGGAAUUCCGCGUGUAGCAGUGAAAUGCGUAGAUAUGCGGAGGAACACCGAUGGCGAAGGCAGCCUCCUGGGAUAACACUGACGCUCAUGCACGAAAGGCGUGGGGAGCAAAGCAGGAUUAGAUACCCUGGUAGUCCACGCCCCUAAACGAUGUCAACUAGCUGUUGGGGG